AGCCCUGUGGCUCAGUUGGUACAGCAUGGUGUUUGCAACGCCAGGGUUGUGGGUUCGAUUCCCACGGGGGGCCA
rnacentral:tRNA from 1 species